GCUUGGCAGAGAGAGGCAUGUUGUAAGGACGAAGAUAUCCUUUUGACUGAUUUUGCUCCCUCUGAAUUUACUCAGGUGACUAGAGGCACAGCUAAAGGAAGUCCGCUGUCUCUUUGUUGUUUGCCCUGGCCAGAGCAGUGGAGAGAGAGAGAGUUACGUCAACUCCAUAGACGCCAAUGGGCCAAUAAUUUUACAGCAAUGGCGGAUCAUGGGAGCCCCCAAUAGUUCCAAACAAUGCGACCGUGUCAAUAGGAUUCCUACGGCGAAGCUUCUCAGUGUUCAUUUGGCAGCUGGAGGCUUCAGCCUGCACAUAGGAGAUAUUCCCCUGGAGGACCUACACAGUAUUCAAACACUGCUUUUUCCAAUCACUAUUAAACUGCCAAAGCUUGAUUUCUGUUGAUAUUUUACUGACUAGACUUCUUCUGACCUUACAGGAAUCCAAAUAAUUUAGCCAGCCUUCUCUCUUGCUCUUGGAAGACUAGAUCCUACAAGAGGCUUCACAGCAGCUACACUGCCUGGUCAAAAAAAAAAAAAGUCGCCACCUGGAUUUAACUAAGCAAAUAGGUACAAGCCUCCUAUUGGAUAAUUACUGCAUGGGCGAU